rnacentral:rRNA from 1 species
GACGAACGCUGGCGGCGUGCUUAACACAUGCAAGUCGAACGGAAAGGCCCUGCUUUUGUGUGGUUCUCGAGUGGCGAACGGGUGUGUAACACGGGAGUAUCCUUCCCUUGACUUUGUGAUAACUUCAGGAAACUGGGGCUAAUACCUGAUAGGAGCGCCUGCAGCAUGGGGGGGUUUGGAAAGUUUCGGCUGUGGGGGAUGGACUCGCGGCUUAUCAGCUUGUUGGUGGGGUAGUGGCUUACCAGGGCUUUGACGGGUAGCCGGCCUGAGUGGGUGACCGGCGACAUUGGGACUGAGGGAAGGCACAGACUGCUAAGGGAGGAAGCAGUGGGGAAUAUUGCACAAUGGGCGGAAGCCUGAUGCAGAAACGCCGCGUGCGGGAUAACGGCCUUCGGGUUGUAAACCGCUUUCGCCUGUGACGAAGCGUGAGUGACGGUAAUGGGUAAAGAAGCAACGGCUAACUACGUG